GAGGGUAUAGCUCAGUGGUAAGGCGCAUGCUUAGCAUGCACGAGGUCCUGGGUUCAAUCCCCAGUACCUCCA
rfam:Camelus ferus unplaced genomic scaffold scaffold606, whole genome shotgun sequence.